UUGAGAUCGAUUCCUUCCCCAUUAAAAUAGUUGGAUCUGUCGGCUUCGUUUUCCGUGGGGUUAACGCUCGGGAUUCGCGAGAUGCAGUAAGAAUCCAUUGCUCUAUAGAUCAAUGAUCUCUUAUGGGAACAAGAAAUCAGUCGUUUCCUCAUCGCUCCUAUAUGUGUCUCCAUUAUUUAGUUGCUGUAUCUAAGGUCUGAGCAUCUUAAAUAAUAAAUGUUCAUCAUUACGAGCAUUAUAAUACAAUUUGAUCUCCAAGAGGAAUCUUGUUCAAUCAUUGAGCUUUAAUAACUCACCGACCUUGUUGCUUUUCUAAUGAAGGAAGACUAGAUUUAUAUCAAGUGGCAAAUGGAGAACUGCUUGAUGGAGUCAUCCCUCCUCUCCCGGGUCUUAGACCAAUAAAUGUUGAAAUGCUUAAUCUGCCUUUCGAAGAAGAUUUCUUGCAGGUGUUAAGAGGUCGUGCUAGCCACCUUGCUAAAUGCAGAUGAUGAGUGAUGAUAUGUGCCACAAUUUGGUGCACGACAGAAGGAUUGAGGGCUUGAGUUAAUGUCGAGAAUUGGAAUACUAAAUUAUCGGAAAUUACUUCUUUGACUAUAGAGGGACCUUUUCCUCCAUACCCAUGGCAGGAGCAUUCCUCAGCAGAAAACAACUUCUCGUGCAUCAUUAUGCUUGAAAGAUGGUAAAGGCAGCCUGAACUGUCACACAAGGUAAAAACUAGGAAAGUUCCAUCUCCUCUGCACUGAAACAUCAUACUCUAGGAGAAAAAAUGGAGCCAUGCAUCCACUUGAAGUAUGAAUAUUGUUGAUGCAAGAUGUUUGAGCAUUUGUUCUUGUCUGUUAAGAGGCACAAUAGCAAUGUCUUUUGUUGAUGAACGUCGUUGCAGCAAACAUUUUAGAGAUGACAAUCAAAACUUUGGACAGAAGGAAUCCUUUUCCUUAUUGAAAGGAGAUGAAUUAUUUUCC